UUUAGACGAAAAAUUUUUACCAGGUUAUUAGUAGUUAUGUUCUUGAAAAUUAAAAAACUUGGCGGUAUUUUAGUCUUUUCAGAGGAACCUGUCACAUAAUUGAUAUUCCACGAUAAUUUUUACUUUUUUUAUUAGUUUGUAUAUCGUCGUUAUUGAAUAUUUUUAUAGAAUUUAAUAUUCAAAAUUCUAUUAAAGAAAAAAAUCAGAUCAAGAUGCAGUUUAUAAAAAAGUGUAGGUGGGUUACAAUAAUUUUAUUUAUACGGAAGGAUUUAUUUAAAAUUUUCUUGAAGGUGGAUUUGAAAGUAAAUUUUAUAAUUUAGUAAAUUUGAUUAAGCUCUAAGAUAUGU
rnacentral:rRNA from 1 species